rnacentral:rRNA from 1 species
GACGAACGCUGGCGGCGUGCUUAACACAUGCAAGUCGAACGGAAAGGCCCUGCUUUUGUGGGGUGCUCGAGUGGCGAACGGGUGAGUAACACGUGAGUAACCUGCCCUUGACUUUGGGAUAACUUCAGGAAACUGGGGCUAAUACCGGAUAGGAGCUCCUGCUGCAUGGUGGGGGUUGGAAAGUUUCGGCGGUUGGGGAUGGACUCGCGGCUUAUCAGCUUGUUGGUGGGGUAGUGGCUUACCAAGGCUUUGACGGGUAGCCGGCCUGAGAGGGUGACCGGCCAAAUGGGAACGGAGAUACGGCCAAGACCCCUAGGGGGGGGAGGAGGGGGGAAAAUGGCAAAAGGGGGGGAAGCCGGAUGCAGCAACGCCGGGUGGGGGAGGAGGGCCUUGGGGUGGAAAACCGCUUUCGCUUGGGACGAAGGGGGGGGGAGGGAAAUGGGGAAAGAAGCACCGGCGAAAUAGGG